rnacentral:misc_RNA from 1 species
GAUCCAGUAUCAAAACCAAUAAAUUUUUACCUUUUAAUAGGCUUAUCUUUGCUGUAAUGUUCAAAUUUUUAUUGUAGCAUUAAUUUUAUUUUGUUUCACAUAAUAUCAGUGUAAAUGCAUUUUCCCUUUUUCCCCUUAUUUCUCAAUUUCAGAAAUAAUUUGAUGCUGCUGUAAUCAACUUACUGCUUAUUUUACAAUUCUUUAUAAUCAUCACUAUCUUAUCUUUCCUUUCCGUUUCCCUUCUCUCUUUGUUAUUUGGGUUUCCUUAUUUAACAAUUUCAUAAGGAAGAUGGAUCAUGAACAUUUAACGUUUUUUGAUGUUGGUGUAAUCUAUUUUCUUCUUUUACUAUCACUUAUGAAAUUUUAAUCCAUGUGUCCAUAAAUUAUCAGCUGUUACUAAUUUUACUGCCAUUUCAUGCAUGCUUUGCUCAUUAGUAGGUAUUUUCUCUUAAGUUUGAUUCCAUGUGCCUUAGAUUGCAAAUUUAUGCUAUUUUAUGACCACAACUUUAUUACACAUAAAUAAGUGUAAUGCAAACCAGCAAUGCAAGAGAUGUGAUGUCAAUUUUAGUGCUAAUAGCAGAAGCUGCAUUAUCUGGUGUACUGGCAUAAUAGAAUAAACUUAUUCUAGAUUUGGUGUUUAACAAGUUAUUUCAAUUUGAUUGGUCUUUUCUCAUUAGUACUUACUUUUUUCUACCAUGCAAGCCAGUUUAUGCUGUAGUUGUUAAGAUGCUUUUUUCAUCAAGUAAAAAUGACUCCAGGACAUGAAAACUAUUGUAAAAUUUGUUUACUGGUGCAACUUAA